rnacentral:tRNA from 1 species
AGUUUUAAUAGUUUAAGUAUAAAACAAUGAUUUUGUAAUUCAUAGUUAGGUAAUUACCUUUAAAACUU